rnacentral:rRNA from 1 species
GGGUUGUGAGGUUAAGCGACUAAGCGUACACGGUGGAUGCCCUGGCAGUCAGAGGCGAUGAAGGACGUGCUAAUCUGCGAUAAGCGCCGGUAAGGUGAUAUGAACCGUUAUAACCGGCGAUUUCCGAAUGGGGAAACCCAGUGUGACUCGUCACACUAUCAUUAACUGAAUCCAUAGGUUAAUGAGGCGAACCGGGGGAACUGAAACAUCUAAGUACCCCGAGGAAAAGAAAUCAACCGAGAUUCCCCCAGUAGCGGCGAGCGAACGGGGAGGAGCCCAGAGCCUGAAUCAGCAUGUGUGUUAGUGGAAGCGUCUGGAAAGGCGCGCGAUACAGGGUGACAGCCCCGUACACAAAAGCGCAUGUGCUGUGAGCUCGAUGAGUAGGGCGGGACACGUGGUAUCCUGUCUGAAUAUGGGGGGACCAUCCUCCAAGGCUAAAUACUCCUGACUGACCGAUAGUGAACCAGUACCGUGAGGGAAAGGCGAAAAGAACCCCGGCGAGGGGAGUGAAAAAGAACCUGAAACCGUGUACGUACAAGCAGUGGGAGCACAGGUUUACCUGUGUGACUGCGUACCUUUUGUAUAAUGGGUCAGCGACUUAUAUUCUGUAGCAAGGUUAACCGAAUAGGGGAGCCGGAGGGAAACCGAGUCUUAAUUGGGCGUUAAGUUGCAGGGUAUAGACCCGAAACCCGGUGAUCUAGCCAUGGGCAGGUUGAAGGUUGGGUAACACUAACUGGAGGACCGAACCGACUAAUGUUGAAAAAUUAGCGGAUGACCUGUGGCUGGGGGUGAAAGGCCAAUCAAACCGGGAGAUAGCUGGUUCUCCCCGAAAGCUAUUUAGGUAGCGCCUCGUGAAUUCAUCUCCGGGGGUAGAGCACUGUUUCGGCUAGGGGGCCAUCCCGGCUUACCAACCCGAUGCAAACUGCGAAUACCGGAGAAUGUUAUCACGGGAGACACACGGCGGGUGCUAACGUCCGUCGUGAAGAGGGAAACAACCCAGACCGCCAGCUAAGGUCCCAAAGUCAUGGUUAAGUGGGAAACGAUGUGGGAAGGCCCAGACAGCCAGGAUGUUGGCUUAGAAGCAGCCAUCAUUUAAAGAAAGCGUAAUAGCUCACUGGUCGAGUCGGCCUGCGCGGAAGAUGUAACGGGGCUAAACCAUGCACCGAAGCUGCGGCAGCGAACGUAUCACUUAAAGCGAUUCAGCGGGUUACGAUUGACGGAGCGAAGCGACGUCAAAGCGUAUACAAAGUCGAGUCGGUUUAAGGAUACGUU